AGGGAGCGUCAAGGUCAUUUAGCAGCCCCCUGACAGCACAACUUUGGGGCUGCAGACUCCCCACGGAGGGAGAGAGGAAAGAAGAGCAAUCAACCUUGUGCUGAGUUACGCUGUUCUCUUAGGAGGACCUCUUCAGGCCCUUCCAGCCGGCUGUCACUAGGAUGUAUUUCGGGUCUUUCAUGAGUGCCCUUGUGUAGAUUUUUGUAUGGGAAAAUCAGGGUUUUUUCAUCGGAAGGAAUAAUUCUAGGUCCUCCCCUGAAAUACCCAAAUGCCUGAGAUUUGACAUACUAUACAUGAGGUUUGUUGGGAUAUCUGGCGUGAAAGUCAGUAAUGAGUUUCCGUGCUUUAACAUGUACAGCAUCCACCCAUUCAUGGUGUGUUUUAGGGAAAUCUUUCUAUUGGACCAAAUAUUGAAGUUUGCCCUUAUAUUUCCUGGAGUCUAAUAUGGCUAGAAUUUCAAAAUGACAUUGUCCUUCAAUCAUAGUAGGGCGAGGCAGUAGUUUGGUUGGAUGCCAUGUACUGAAGUCUUUGAAAGACUUGAGAAGAUUAGCAUGAAAAACUGGGUGUAUGUUUCUGUAAAGCUUUGGAAGAGUUAAUUUAAAAGCAAUAGGACUGAUGACUUUUUCAAUGGGGAAGUUUUUUAUUAGGUUGAGUACUUUUUAAGUUUUUGGUAGAAAGCCAGACUUUGUCGCCCACUUUCCAAGGGGGGUUUGCAGAGCGUUUUCUGUCAACAAAUUUCUUAUGUUGUGCUCUGGCAUUUUGUAGUGAUUGCACGAUUAGAGGCCAUAGUUGAGUGAUAUUGUUGAUCCAUUGGUCAGUAGUGUCAGGCAGAGUGGAGGUGUGAGUACAUUCCACACCAAAAAUACACACCAG